UCCACGGGUGCUCUUAGAGUAUAAGAUGGGCGAGCAGCUCAUCUCAUUGUCCCAGAUGAAACCUCGCACCACACCGGAGAACAGGAAGUGGAGAAGAGUUUGAAAGAGAGCUUUGACGAGGAGUUUCCCUUGUUUCUGGGCUGGCUCUGCCCAGGAGAGUGAGCCCUCCUGCUCCCCGCCCCCUCCUUCCACAGGGGACGGAGGUAGAUUCCAUUUUCUGCGGCCGAAACGCCCCAGCCUGUUACACUCUGUGCUUUAUCUCUGCAGCCAACUCAGCGCCACGAGUAACUGUGUGUCCCCUGCUGUAACACAAUGAAGGUGGGGAGACAUUUCUGCCAGAGGACUCAGCAUUGCAAUGACAAGUUUCACAGCUGACGUUUCUCCUGCAAGAUAAAGUCCCUUUCUUGCUUGAAAAAGAUUAUUUGCUACGUUCGGACCACCUCCUUUCUGCCAUUUGGGUAGAUGUACCUGUGGAAUAGACCAAUGGAGCUGGAGUCACCUGCCACCAAAUUUGGGACGUCGUGCUAUGAAGCAUUCGCCCCUGUCUGAAUACCGGAGCCAUUUGACAUCCUGUAGGGGACAGUCAGCUGUCCAUCUUCCUUGGGCCCAACUGCCCAGCAUCCCUGAGACAGCACACCUUCUCAGCGAGGCUGGUCCCUGAGCCAAGGAACAGGCCCAGGUGUGUCUGGAUGCAUCCCCAGGAAAGAGCCUCAGAAAACGAACGAGGAAGCAGUACAAGCGUGAUAGGCACCUUGCACUGGUCCUGUCAGCUUUGUGUUUCACUGGAGAGCAACAGGCAGAUUCAAGGACACGCCCACCUCUGGUGAAAAGGCAGGGAAGCCUUGCUUUCUGAGGCCUCCAGGCUGUCAUUCUUCAGGCACACCCUCUUCUAACAAUGCACUGGGAGGGCUCAGAAGAAAAAGGUUUACUGGAGUCAUCAGGAGGCUGCCGCAGAAAUCAGGAGAUGGCGAGCUAGAGAGUUUUAUUUUAUCGUCCCUGCACUUGAGCCUCAAGCUUUUCCAAGCAUGGCUCCUCCAGUCUCCUCCAGGAAUUCACUGAGACUUAACCACCGUCUAUGCUAGAACAUGCUCCUUGCAGCUAUCCAAACAUCUCCUGAGCUGUUUACUCUGCUCAGUGCCAGCCUCUCCGCAGACUGACGUUCCUGCAAGAGCGGGGCUCCCUCCUUUGCCUGGGAAAUCUGCAAUGCAUUGUCUGGCACAUCUCAUCCUCUGAUAGAUUCUCAUAGGAUGGGGUUUAAACCUUUACCACCCCCUAUUAAUUAUACACUUGAGAUUUCUAUAGCUGGCAAAAAAAAAAAAGUCACUAAUAUGCUGUAAUCAGGCAGAGGGAGGCAGUGGCAUAUAAAUUGUUAAUUUAUGUAAAGCUACGUAUAGGGAAGAAAUUAUCCAACAUGUGUGCACAAAGGUGAAAAUAUUAGCUUGUGUCAGUGGGUGCCAGUUGCGAAGCUUGACGCUGCCGCCAAACCUCCUGGGGGUGGGUGGUGACGUGGUGACCAUGAGAUCAGUCCUCUGAGGCUUGUCAGAGAUGGCAGACUCCAGGCUGGGAGCUUCUUAGGUGUAUUUUACACUGUAAUAGGUGAUUCUUCCUUUCAUUUGAGAGAACUAUGCAUGAGAUCAACCUAAAUCUUGUCCGCAACGGGUGGAAGAGCCUCAGAAAGAUAUAUGGUCUUAGGUCACAAAACGUGUGUUCUUUAUUUGACACCCAGGCCCCCAGAUUCUCACCUGAAUAUCUCCGCCUCCCCCACGCUUUAGCAGGUGCACCUUUCACUCCAUUCUCUUAUGUGAAUGAAAUGUACACAAAAUCUAUCUUCAGGAUUUGUUUUAUGAGACACACUUGAGGUGGAAGAUAUAUGUAUGUACAUAGUAUCUGACCUUAGAUACUGAGGGUUGAGUUAACUGUAUUUUCCUCUUCAGUUAGUGGUACAGCACCCCCCCUCCCAAGUCUGGUGGGCUGGACAGGGUCUCUUCCUUGUUUCCAUAAUUACUUAGUUAAUGACCACACUUGUUCCCAUCCAUCCCCAUCCCAUUCUCAACCCCACACCCAGCCCCACUGCUGGCAACUAUGUCUGCAUGUGUAAUGGGUAUAUUUUUGUUCAUCUGUUUUCUUGAAGAGUAUACAUCAUUUGGGGUUGGAGUGUUUUUCACAAAUGUAAGAAGGUAGCAUUUUAUCAGGCCUUUCAUUUGGUUCACACAGGAUCAUGUGUUUGGCUUCCACCUGUUCUUGGAUAUUGUGUACACAUUACCUGUACCUUCUAGCUUGCAGGGGGAGUGCUCCGAGGUACCAAUUCUGUCCAGAAUUACCUCCCCUUUCUUCCAGCGUGGACACCUAGAUUGCUUCCAAUCUUCUGCUACCAAAAUAAAACUUUCAUAAAUAUCCUUGCACACAAUAAACACCUUUGUGGGAGUUCCCUUGUCGAAGUGUGUGAGCAUUUUUUGAAGCAAAUUUUGGGGUCCUGGGGUGUCAUAGACUUCAUGUGGCUCAGUGCUGCUAGAUUUCUCUGCAGCGAGUUUCCACCAUCCUCACUCCCAGAAACAGACCCAGGUGUGAGGAUCACUUCAUGUACAAUGAAGGUGUUUCACAGAUCACUGGGAAAAGUACACAUUGCUUCUGGGCCCUCAGUUCCUUUCCAUUUAAUUUUUUUUUGUUUUUGCACCUAUAACAAUAAUAUUCUGAGCGAGAUUGAAGCUUUUAUCUUAAUAUCAGGCAGAGAAAACACCCCUCUUUACUUUUAUUUUAGGUUGAUUUACUAUUUGAUGGAACUGUAUUCUUUCAUAUAAA